CCUGAAAAUAGUUUUGAUGUAAUAGAUCCCUGAAAAGGUCUGGGAGACCACUUUGAGAACCAAGGUGGCAGGCAGAUACCAUGCUUAAAAUGUUCAUUCAAACGUUUAUAUUUCCAAAGUCUUGUUUUUCUUAGUCUGGCUAAUUUCUUUCUGACUCGGGCCCCAUUAGCAUUUGAUGUGAGUGUGUAUAAGCCUGUAGCUGCGAGCCUGAGGCUCCCGAAGCCUGAGUCAUGACUGCUCCACCUUCCCUGGCACAAGGAAGCGUUCGCUAUUCUCUGAGUAAACCAGGUGUUAUGGUUCAUGCCUGUAAUCCCAGCACUUUGGGAGGCCCGAGGUGGGCGGGCAGAUCUUUUGCGCCCAGGAGUUUGAGACUAGCCUGGGCAACAUGGCAAAACCCCAUUUCGACAAAAAAAACAGAAAAUUUAGUGGGGUGUGGUGGUGCACACCUGUGGUCUCAGCUACUCAGGAGGCUGAGGUGUGAGAAUCACUUGAGCCCGGGAAGUGGAGGCUUCAGUAAGUCGUGAUGGUGCCAUUGCACUCCAGCGUGGGUCACAGAGUAAGACCCUGUCCCAAAAACGAAAACAGAACAAAAACCGGGGUAAGCAUCACAGAUCGACCUGAAAGCACUAAUGUCCAGUCCCAAGAGCUGUCCCCUUCUCGUUCUCAUCUUCCUCACCACAGGCUCACAAGCAGGUUCAUGGCCACCUGGAACAGAUUGGGCCCCAAGAACAAAAGUAUUUCCCCCACCACUGCCAGCACAUACAGGAUAGUUACCCUAAGUGAACUCCUCCACAACCAUAAGGCCCAGGGAUGGGUACCAGCUAACUCCACUUUCAUCCUGCAUAUAUUCUUAAUAAACCCAGCUUAAUUGUCCAGCCAGAUUUCCUAAGGUAUAGCUACUCUCUCUAACUUCAAAAGGAGAUCCUGUAAGGAAUCAACCAUACUCCAUUGUGAGAAUCUGCUUUGCCCAUGGCCUUGUUCCCCUUGUCACCUAUAUGGGGAAUCUGGAAGGACAAACUGACAUGUGUAGCCUCUUUCUCUCCCUUUUUCCUAUUAGGAGCUGGCCUACCACUCCCUCCUCUACUUAGUAAGGUUUAGAGGCCUGUCUGUCUCAUUUUAGGCUUAAGUCUUAUAAAGUAUUAGGAAGUCACUUGCUCACAGAGUCUCUGACCUCUGCCAGGUGCAGUGGCUCACACCUGUAAUCCCAACUACUGCGGAGGCUGAGGCGGGAGGAUUGCCUCAGCUCAGGAGUUCAAGACCAGCCUGGGCAAAAUAGUGAGAUUCUGUCUCAAAAAAAAUUUUUUUUUCCAAAAAAAAAAAAAAAAUCUCUGCCCUCCAACCUAGCCUUUGUCAGUAGUAAAGGUGACAUUUUAGUCUCCAUCUGCUGCCUCCCUGUUCUUAUAUCUUAAUUGCUUCAGAACCCUGGUGAGGAAUAAGGGCGCCAUUACAAUGCCCCUCAGAGACCCCAAGAUGGUCAUAUCGGUAAGCAUUAGCAAUUUUAGGUCACUGCUGAAAACACAGUUAUUAAAGGAGUUCUAAAGUUUAAAAAUUUGCUUUGACUAUUCUCUUCAGAAACUUUUAACACUCUUUUUUUAUUUUUAUUUUUUUGAGACACAGUCUUACUCUGUUGCCAAGGCUGCAGUACAGUGGCAUGAUCUCGGCUCACUGCAGCCUCCACCUCCCAGGUUCAAGCGAUUCUCCUGCCUCAGCCUCCCAAGUAGCUGGGAUUACAGGUGCCCGCCACCACAACCGGCUAAAUUUUGUAUUUUUAGUAAAGAUAGGGUUUCACCAUAUUGGCCAGGCUGGUCUCGAACUCCUGACCUCAAGUGAUCCACCUGCCUCAGCCUCCUGAAGUGCCAGGAUUACAGGCACUUUCUCAGGAUUACAGAGGAUUACAGGCGUGAGCCAUCGCACCCAGCCGAGAAACUUUUAACACUCUGUAGAGGAAGGAACUGAUAUUGUGAUUGACUUUUGUCAGGGUUAGUUGCUAUCGGCAGCUCUCUGAGGAAGAGGCUGUAAUUUGCAUGCUUAAUCUCAUGUCUAUUCCACUUUUCCUUCAGGGAAAGGCCUUGUUCAUGUACAUCUAGUAGGAGUGAACCUGAUACAUCGUGAUUGCGUCAUAUGUAUUUGCUGAAUGAAUUAAUAAAAAGCUAAUACUACUCAAUUUCUUUUUUUUUUUUUUUUUUCAGAUGGAGUUUCACUCUUGUUGCCCAGACUGGAAUGCAAUGGCACGAUCUCAGCUCACCAUAACCUCCACCUCUUGGGUUCAAGCGAUUCUCCUGCCUCAACCUCCCGAGUAGCUGGGAUUACAGGCACGUGCCAACACGCCCAGCUAAUUUUUGUAUUUUUAGUAGAGACGAGGUUUCUCCAUGUUGGUCAGGCUGGUCUCGAACUCCUGAUCUCAGGUGAUCCGCCUGCCUCGGCCUCCCGAAGUGCUGGGAUUACAGGCGUGAGCCACAGAGCCUGGCCUAAUACUACUCAAUUUUUAUCAAACACUCUGGCGCUAGUAGACAAUCUCCUUUAGGGAAAGAACUGCUUUCAGGAAAAUAUUUUAAUAAGUUACCUGUAAUAAAAGUGAGAGGCCUUUAAGGAAGGAAAAAAAGAAUAUUUAUGCUGCCUCUUUAUGGGAAAACAAGAGGGAUUUGUCACUUAUUUUUUCCUACUGAUGGGGAGUGGGGCUAAGGAGGAAAGAGAGACAAGAGCCAGUGAGCUGGUCUGAGUUGGGGACUGCGGGAAGUCAUGGUGGGUGAGUGAUAAUAUUUUAAGCACAGGGACACUCAGAGUUUAAUCUGAAGUUCCAUUGCUGUGAUGUAAUCCACUCUCUUCCUUCCCACAUGUCAUCAGUGAUUAUGACAAUAUAAACAUCAGCAGAAAUCUUGGGGACGGUUUGGGAUUCCCUAGAGGGUAUGUGCCAAUGUUCUCUGCCCUUCAAGUCUUUGUUCUGAAGCAAUACUUGUGGCAGAUUGCUGGAAGAAUAUUCUGUCCAUUACAGAUCAUGAAAAAAUUUUACCUGUGGAUCAAUCCAGACCUCAGAAAGCUGUUAAGUUAUGACUUCAUUAGAGAAGAAAGAAAGAAAGAAAGAAAGAAAGAAAGAAAGAAAGAAAGAAAGAAAGAAAGAAAGAAAAGACAGACAGCAAGCAAGCAAGCUGUGAGGCAGGAGCCCUUUGUUCCACCUACCAGUAGGCUUAUUUUUACUGAACUGAAUAUGAAGGUUAGGCCUACACCGAAGAAAGUUGUAAGAAAUGGGCUGGGCACCGUGGCUCAUGCCUGUAAUCCCAGCAGUUUGGGAGGCCAAAGUGGGCAGAUCACGAGGUCAGGAGAUCGAGACCAUCCUGGCUAACACAGUGAAACCCCAUCUCUACUAAAAAUACAAAAAAUUAGCCAGGCGUGGUGGCACAUACCUGUAAUCCCAGCUACUUGGGAGGCUGAGGCAGGAGAAUCGCUUGAACUUGGGAGGCAGAGUUACAGUGAGCCGAGAUUGCGCCACUGCACUCCAGCCUGGGUGUCAGAGCAAGACUCCGUCUCAAAAAAAAAAAAAAAAAAAAGAAAAGUAAAAAGAUAUAAACCGGCCAGGUGUGGUGGCUCACACCUGGUAAUCCCAGCACUUUGGGAGGCCAAGGCGGGCAGAUCACGAGGUCAGGAGUUCAAGACCAGCCUAACACGGUGAAACCCUGUCUCUACUAAAAAUAUAAAAAUUAGCUGGGUGUGGUCGCAUGCCUGUAAUCCCAGGACUCAGGAGGCUGAGGCAGGAGAAUCGCUUGAACCUGGGAGGUGGAGGUUGCAGUAAGCCGAGAUAGCGCCACUGCACUCCAGCCUGGGCGACAGUGCGAGACUUCAUCACAAAAAAUAAAAAAAUAAAAAAGAAAGAAGCCAUAGGCCACCCAUUACUAAAUUCACUGUAGGGGUUUCGUUGAGACUAAAUCACAUAAUGAGGGCCCAUGAGAGAAAUGCCUUGUGUGAAGUCCACCUCUGACAACUGUGCAGGACUUGAUGACACAUCCUUUGAUAUCAUCCUUACCCCUGGCUUCACCUUACUGUCUUAUUUGUAUUUUCGGUUUGCACCAAUGGCCUCCUUAAUGUUUGAGGGAGCUGUGCUACAUAGAACUCUAAAAGCUGCUAGCAAUAAUUUUUCAAGCAAGGCAAAGCAUAAUGAAAAAAAUUAAUAUGCUUUUCAAAUUCUAUUAUCUCUAAUUCCCACCUCACUAUGCUCUUCACUUGAAAACGUGGAAAGUAAAAAGAUAAUUUAUCUUCCUCCUGCGGCAUGUUGGCAAGCAUUCACCCAGCCCCUCUUCACUACUCCCAAAUAAGGACUUGCUGAUAUUUUUAGCAAAACAAUUUAUGGGUCCAUUUUUCAAAAAUCAAGCUAGUUCACUCCUGUGCGUGCUCAUGCGCGCACACACACACUCACACUCACAUACUGCUUGAGUGAUCAGAAAACCCAGCCACACAAUUUAUUCAUUUAUUUUUAAAAGUAGAGGCGGGGUCUUACUACAUUGCCCAAGCUGGUCUUGAAACCCUGGGCUCAAGCUAUCCUUUUGCCUCAGCCUCCCAAAGUGCUGGGAUUACAGGUGUGAGCGACUGCGCCUGGCCAACAAUUUAUGCAUGGCCCUCCCUUAGCUUGUUUCAGGUAUAUAUGCUUAUUUCUUUGGUGCAUUUUCCUUAUAUAUUGUUUACAUAUGAUAUAAAUACUUCCCCAUACUUUAUUUGCAUUAUUAUGUUUGGUAUCUAUGAGAAAAAGAAUAUUUUGGAUAUUAAAUAUGAAACAUUAUUGGAUAUUAAAUUGAAACAAUUAAUGCUAUAGUUCCCCUUUGACCACUCACUUUUCCCCAGCUGCCUCCCAGAAUUAGCCACUGUUACCAGUUUGAUGCAUAACCUUCUAGAUUCUCAUGUUUGCUUUUGUAAAUAUAUACACAUAGGUAGAGCAGUCUAUUGGUUUUUGUCAUGUGUAUCUGGGUGUUAAAUGAAGGAGUGAUGUUCUACAACUUGCUUUUAUGAUUUAACUAUGUCUUAGGCCACUUUUCCUCCUCCCAGGGAAGAGCUCUUCUCUAUGGUUUUGUUUUGUUUUUUUGUUUUUUUUUGAGACGGAGUCUUACUGUGUCACCCAGGCUGGAGUGCAGUGGCAUGAUCUUGGCUCACUGCAACCUCCACCUCCCGGGUUCAAGUGAUUCUCCUGCCUCAGCCUCCCGAGUCGCUGGGAUUACAGGCGCCUGCCAUCACGUCCAGGUAAUAUUUGUAUUUUUAAUAGAGACAGGGUCUCACCAUGUUGGCCAGGCUGGUCUUGAACUCCUGACCUCAGGUGAUCCACCUGCCUCGG
rnacentral:lncRNA from 1 species